CCUACGGGUGGCUGCAGUGAGGAAUAUUGGUCAAUGGACGCGAGCCUGAACCAGCCAUGUAGCGUGAAGGAUGACUGCCCUACGGGUUGUAAACUGCUUUUAUAAAGGAAUAAAGUCAGGCACGUGUGCCUUUUUGUAUGUACUUUAUGAAUAAGGAUCGGCUAACUCCGUGCCAGCAGCCGCGGUAAUACGGAGGAUCCAAGCGUUAUCCGGAUUUAUUGGGUUUAAAGGGUGCGUAGACGGUUUGUUAAGUCAGUUGUGAAAGUUCGCGGCUCAACUGUAGAAUUGCAACUGAUACUGGCCGCCUUGAGAACAGUUGCGGUAGGCGGAAUGUGUGGUGUAGCGGUGAAAUGCUUAGAGAUCACGCAGAACUCCGAUUGCGAAGGCAGCCUACUAAGCUGCCACUGACAUUGAUGCACGAAAGUGUGGGUAUCAAACAGGAUUAGAUACCCGAGUAGUC
rnacentral:rRNA from 1 species